rnacentral:ncRNA from 1 species
ACCUUCGAGCUGUUGAUCCUAAUGGUGUUUUUCCUAUGGACAGUAGCCGCUGGGUGUAAGUGGAAACGCUUACGCCUCCCGUGUUUGGAAAGGAGGAG